ensembl:lncRNA
AUGUGCUGUCUGCAGUCUUCCGAGGAGAAACUGAUUGACAAGUAAACGGUAUCUGCCUCCUUUCCAAGGCCCAGUCUAAAUGAGUUGCUCAUCUACUUCAGAUGCAAGUCACAAAACCAUUUCUGAUGUGUUUACAAACUAGUCUGGAAAAGCCUCAUCAAACCAAAAUAAAGAGGUGGAUGUUUUUUUGUUGGUUGGUUGUUUUUUCUUCUCCUUUUUCAAUAAAAGAAGAGGCAUUCUGAAUUCUUCCUCCAAGAUCAUCAGUCAUUUUCUGAACUGCUUGGUUAGAAGUAAAGGACGCUCAGAUGAAAAAUAAUGGUCAAUACUUUAUUUUGAAUGUUGUUCAGGAGGAAGCAAAUACCUUGGCAUACUGCGCAUUUAUUUUCAAGUGUACCUUGAUACUCGGUUCAAACAUAGAUUCUCAGUAUAAAUUCUGUGUUAAUUAAUCUCAAUUUUGUAAUGAAAAUAGUGCUUUUUAUAAAUAAUGCUUUUUAUUUCAUCUUUACCUACCCCCUACAUAUACAUUUAAAAACAGUCUUAGUAGGAAGUUUGUACUCUAGAUUUAUCUAGUGCCUGUGAUCUAUUCUUACCUCUUUAUGCAAAAAAACCCAGUCUUUCCACUUCCACAUCUGAUUUAAGAAUAUAUUUAAGUUUUGAAAAAUCAAGAGAAAAAGCAUAUGACAAUAUAUCAAUAAGCCAAUUCCUAGCACAAGACAUCCACAAUAUAAAAUACUUUACUUAAUCUUUCAAUAACACAUAUUCUACACAUACUACCUUUCAGCAAAUUUCAGUUUUCAGUAAGUUACAAUUUCCAUAAAAAGAACAGGUAGUUGAACUGGACUAACACAGUUUUGUUUGAUGAAGUCAAAGUCUGGAGUCAGAUAUCUGAGAACUAAUGUAUAUCUUUAAAUGAAAUCCAUUUCUUCAAGUUCACCAUGAUGUAUUCUUAGAUAAGAGCUAUGCUUAUAACUGAAGAAUGCCAUCAAUUCUUUGAUAUAAUUUUAAUCUUCUGUGAAUAAAUGAAUGAGGUAGUAAACUGCAGCAUAAGGAAAAUCUAUUUUAAACUGCAUUAUAUUAAAUCUGAUGGCACAUUGUGUGAGAAAUAUAAGCAGUAUUCAGUCACUGAGAAUUUCUUUCCAUCAUUGGAAUGAUUGCAACCCUUUUGGAAUUAACAACUACGACUGGGAGCCUUUACCUAGGAUGCAGAGUAACUUCUAAUAGCUGGAAAACAUUUCCUUCCAGCUGCAGGCUACAGAGAUAAUCAUCCUUUGAGAUCAAAUUAUGUGAAGGUCAAAUAACGACUAGAGUAAUUAUGCAGCUCAAGAAUUAUGUGGGUUGUUG